GUUCUUACUUUGCCAGCACAUAUACUAAAAUUGGAAUAAUGCAGAGAUUAAUAUGGCCCCUAUGCAAACAUGAUACACAAAUUUGAUGGGGGAUGUUCUUCUGU